AACCUGGUUGAUCCUGCCAGUAGUCAUAUGCUUGUCUCAAAGACUAAGCCAUGCAUGUCUAAGUAUAAACGCUUCUAUACUGUGAAACUGCGAAUGGCUCAUUAAAUCAGUUAUAGUUUAUUUGAUGGUUUCUUACUACUUGGAUAACCGUGGUAAUUCUAGAGCUAAUACAUGCACAAAGUCCCGACUCUUCGGAAGGGAUGUAUUUAUUAGAUCCAAAACCAAUGCGAGUCUCUCGGGGCUCGGUUUCUUGGUGAUUCAUGAUAACUGCUCGAACCGUAUGGCCCUUGCGCCGACGGUGCUUCAUUCAAAUUUCUGCCCUAUCAACUUUCGAUGGUACGGUAGUGGCCUACCAUGGUUGCAACGGGUGACGGAGAAUUAGGGUUCGAUUCCGGAGAGGGAGCCUGAGAAACGGCUACCACAUCCAAGGAAGGCAGCAGGCGCGCAAAUUACCCAAUCCCGACUCGGGGAGGUAGUGACAAUAAAUAACAAUGCCGGGCUAUUGUAGUCUGGCAAUUGGAAUGAGUACAAUCUAAAUCCCUUAACGAGGAACAAUUGGAGGGCAAGUCUGGUGCCAGCAGCCGCGGUAAUUCCAGCUCCAAUAGCGUAUAUUAAAGUUGUUGCAGUUAAAAAGCUCGUAGUUGGAUUUCGGGGUGGCCUGCCUGGUCCACCGCAAGGUGAGUACUGGUCAGCCGCCCUUCCUCUCGAAAGCCCCGACUGCUCUUCACUGCAGUGGUCGGGUGGUUCGGGACGUUUACUUUGAAAAAAUUAGAGUGUUCAAGGCAGGCUAUCGCCUGAAUACAUUAGCAUGGAAUAAUGGAAGAAGGACCUCGGUCCCUAUUUUGUUGGUUUCUAGGCCCGAAGUAAUGAUAUAAGACGGGACAGUUGGGGCGCUUUCGUAAUUUAAUUGUCA
rnacentral:rRNA from 1 species